GCCCAGUGAUGAAACCAAGGCGAAUGUGAGCUCACUGAAUGAGUGUUGGCUUCUUGUUGCAUUUGAAUGGCAGGUAAUCUUGGUAGUGCAGAGGAGGGUUUCUGCUCUGCUGUAAGGGCCUGCCGACAGAGACUUGGCUCAAUCCAAAUUAUUCCUUUAGAGUCACAGUGGAGUAAUCUCAGGAAUAGAGCUUACAUUGUGUGUGUGGGUGUGAGUGUCUGAUGCAAGAAGCCCACUUUGGUCUUGCCGCCGUUCAGUGAUCCAUGAGCUGUUACUUUUAACAAUCUGAGGGCU
rfam:Poecilia formosa, whole genome shotgun sequence.